UACGAAGGGUGCAAGCGUUACUCGGAAUUACUGGGCGUAAAGCGUGCGUAGGUGGUUUGUUAAGUCUGAUGUGAAGGCCCUGGGCUCAACCUGGGAAUUGCAUUGGAUACUGGCAGUCUAGAGUGCGGUAGAGGGUAGCGGAAUUCCCGGUGUAGCAGUGAAAUGCGUAGAUAUCGGGAGGAACAUCCGUGGCGAAGGCGGCUACCUGGACCAGCACUGACACUGAGGCACGAAAGCGUGGGGAGCAAACAGG
rnacentral:rRNA from 1 species